rnacentral:rRNA from 1 species
UGGGGAAUAUUGGACAAUGGGCGAAAGCCUGAUCCAGCCAUGCCGCGUGAGUGACGAAGGCCUUAGGGUUGUAAAACUCCUUCGUCGGGGACGAUAAUGACGGUACCCGAAGAAGAAGCUCCGGCUAACUUCGUGCCAGCAGCCGCGGUAAUACGAAGGGAGCUAGCGUUGUUCGGAAUCACUGGGCGUAAAGCGCACGUAGGCGGAUAGUUAAGUCAGGGGUGAAAUCCUGGGGCUCAACCCCAGAACUGCCUUUGAUACUGGCUGUCUCGAGGUCGAGAGAGGUUGGUGGAAUUCCUAGUGUAGAGGUGAAAUUCGUAGAUAUUAGGAAGAACACUAGUGGCGAAGGCGGCCAACUGGCUCGAUACUGACGCUGAGGUGCGAAAGCGUGGGGAGCAAACAGGAUUAGAUACCCGUGUAGUCCCUGAGCGGGCUGGCAAGGCGCAU